GGCUCAGAACGAACGCUGGCGGCGUGCUUAACACAUGCAAGUCGAACGCGAAAGGGACUUCGGUCCUGAGUAAAGUGGCGCACGGGUGAGUAACGCGUAGAUAACCUGUCUUCAUGUCUGGAAUAAUACGCCGAAAGGGGUACUAAUACCGGAUAUUCUUGCUUUUCAUAAGUUAUGCAAGCAAAGGUGGCCUCUGCAUAUGCUACUGCAUGAAGAGGGGUCUGCGUACCAUUAGCUAGUAGGUGGGGUAAUGGCCUACCUAGGCGACGAUGGUUAGCGGGUCUGAGAGGAUGGUCCGCCACACUGGCACUGGAACACGGGCCAGACUCCUACGGGAGGCAGCAGUGAGGAAUAUUGCGCAAUGGGGGAAACCCUGACGCAGCGACGCCGCGUGAGUGAGGAAGGCCUUCGGGUCGUAAAGCUCUGUCAAGAGGAAAGAAGUGUACAAUGGCUAAUACCUGUUGUAUUUGACGGUACCUCUAAAGGAAGCACCGGCUAACUCCGUGCCAGCCGCCGC
rnacentral:rRNA from 1 species